GCCAGCCCCAGUCAAAUGUCUUUUAUAAGAGUCAUACUGAAACAUUUCCACCACUGCCUGCCAUUACUCCUUGACCAAUAUAGUCUGAUGACCAUUCAUGCAGCAUUGACACUGUGUUGCAAAUUCCAGGUUGCCUGGGGAAGAUGUCAAGUAUAAGAGGAUGUCCACUGGGUCUACGCACAUAUGACACCGUCUCACCCAAGGAACAUUUCAGUCUCUGGGUUGUGGUGUGUUUGAGAGCACGGGACCAACUGUAUACACGUAUAUGCAGUAGACUUUCCAGAGAGACUUUUUGUACUAUGUAACGUUGCCUAAUUAGAACUGUAAGACGCACAUUUUAGUGUUGUCCAUGACGCAACAGGGCCCCUCGUUGUCGUUGUUGCUGCUUUUGAUAUUUUACAGCAAAGGAAGUGAACAACUAUAGAACUAGGAGUUUUAGAGUCCUGUUAUGUUCGGGGUUAGAACUCAGACGCUUCCUAGCUUGAACCCUAAAUUUAGUAGCCGAGGACUUAGCCCCUAUGUCUGUUUCACUGUUUGUCAACUUAACCAUGUAAUUGCUUCCCUUGUCUUAAGUCCCCUUUUCUUCUUUUUGUUGUUAUUUUUGUCUUCUAGUUUCUUAAGAUGAAUUCCAACUCCUAUUUUUAAUUUUCUAUUAUACUAAAGACAGUGUUUAAAGCUAUUUUCUCUAAAUACAACUUUUUGUGCAUGC
rnacentral:lncRNA from 1 species